rnacentral:rRNA from 1 species
AGUGAACGCUGGCGGUAGGCCUAACACAUGCAAGUCGAACGGCAGCACAGUAAGAGCUUGCUCUUACGGGUGGCGAGUGGCGGACGGGUGAGGAAUACAUCGGAAUCUACUUUUUCGUGGGGGAUAACGUAGGGAAACUUACGCUAAUACCGCAUAUGACCUACGGGUGAAAGCAGGGGAUCUUCGGACCUUGCGCGAUUGAAUGAGCCGCGGUCGGAUUAGCUAGUUGGCGGGGUAAAGGCCCACCAAGGCGACGAUCCGUAGCUGGUCUGAGAGGAUGAUCGGCCACACUGGAACUGAGACACGGUCCAGACGACUACGGGAGGCAGCAGUGGGGAAUAUUGGACAAUGGGCGCAAGCCUGAUCCAGCCAUACCGCGUGGGUGAAGAAGGCCUUCGGGUUGUAAAGCCCUUUUGUUGGGAAAGAAAAGCAGCAGGUUAAUACCCCGCUGUUCUGACGGUACCCAAAGAAUAAGCACCGGCUAACUUCGUG